rnacentral:rRNA from 1 species
CACGGCCUAUCAGCUUGUUGGAGAGGUAACGGCUCACCAAGGCAUCGACGGGUAGCUGGUCUGAGAGGAUGAUCAGCCACACUGGGACUGAGACACGGCCCAGACUCCUACGGGAGGCAGCAGUGGGGAAUCUUGCACAAUGGGCGAAAGCCUGAUGCAGCAACGCCGCGUGCGGGAAGAAGGCCUUAGGGUUGUAAACCGCUUUCAGUAGGGAAGAAAAUGACGGUACCUACAGAAGAAGGUGCGGCCAACUACGUGCCAGCAGCCGCGGUGACACGUAGGCACCAAGCGUUAUCCGGAUUUAUUGGGCGUAAAGAGCUCGUAGGCGGUUCGGUAAGUCGGGUGUGAAAACUCUGGGCUCAACCCAGAGAGGCCACCCGAUACUGCUGUGACUAGAGUGCGGUAGGGGAGCGGGGAAUUCCUGGUGUAGCGGUGAAAUGCGCAGAUAUCAGGAGGAACACCAGCGGCGAAGGCGCCGCUCUGGGCCGUAACUGACGCUGAGGAGCGAAAGCAUGGGUAGCAAACAGGAUUAGAUACCCUGGUAGUCCAUGCCGUAAACGUUGGGCACUAGGUGUGGGUCUCAACCAACGAGAUCCGCGCCGUCGCUAACGCAUUAAGUGCCCCGCCUGGGGAGUACGG